rnacentral:rRNA from 1 species
AAUAGAUACCCUGGUAGUCCAUGCCGUAAACGUUGGGCACUAGGUGUGGGCUCAUUCCACGAGUUCCGUGCCGCAGCAAACGCAUUAAGUGCCCCGCCUGGGGAGUACGGCCGCAAGGCUAAAACUCAAAGGAAUUGACGGGGGCCCGCACAAGCGGCGGAGCAUGCGGAUUAAUUCGAUGCAACGCGAAGAACCUUACCAAGGCUUGACAUGCACGGGAAGCCACCAGAGAUGGUGGUCUCUUUGGACACUCGUGCACAGGUGGUGCAUGGUUGUCGUCAGCUCGUGUCGUGAGAUGUUGGGUUAAGUCCCGCAACGAGCGCAACCCUCGUCCCAUGUUGCCAGCGGGUUAUGCCGGGGACUCAUGGGAGACUGCCGGGGUCAACUCGGAGGAAGGUGGGGAUGACGUCAAAUCAUCAUGCCCCUUAUGUCUUGGGCUUCACGCAUGCUACAAUGGCCGGUACAAAGGGCUGCGAUACCGUAAGGUGGAGCGAAUCCCAAAAAGCCGGUCUCAGUUCGGAUUGGGGU